AUAAAGCAACAAAUGUAGCUGCACUCACGGUCUGUAGGUUGUUUUUUUUUUAACUCUUUAUUUUCUUGGUGCGUAAUUUUCAAUAAAGCAAUGGUUGACAGAUUAUGCAGACAUUAGUGUAGGGUGUUUUUUUUUUUUGAUCCUGAGGAAAGUCCACGAGGGGGACUGAAACGUCGAUCCUAAUUUUAAUAUGAAUUAAUAAAGAAUUGAAGAUUUUAUCUACAGACCGUGAGUGCAGCUACAUUUGUUGCUUUC